AGAGGGUGCAAGCGUUAAUCGGAAUUACUGGGCGUAAAGGGCGUGUAGGUGGAAAGGUAAGUGAGAUGUGAAAGCCCUGGGCUUAACCCGGGGAUGCCAUUUGAAACUGUUUUUCUAGAGUACAGGAGAGGGAAGUGGAAUUUCCGGUGUAGCGGUGAAAUGCGUAGAUAUCGGAAGGAACAUCUGUGGCGAAGGCGACUUUCUGGCCUGAUACUGACACUGAGACGCGAAAGCGUGGGUAGCGAACAGGAUUAGAUACCCUGGUAGUCCACGCUGUAAACGAUGAGAACUAGCUGUUGUGGAGCAUGACUUUGCAGUGGCGUAGCUAACGCGCUAAGUUCUCCGCCUGGGAGUACGGCCGCAAGGUUA
rnacentral:rRNA from 1 species